rnacentral:rRNA from 1 species
AACGAACGCUGGCGGCAUGCCUAACACAUGCAAGUCGAACGAGACCUUCGUGACUGGUGGCGCACGGGUGCGUAACGCGUGGGAACCUGCCCUUAGGUUCGGAAUACCUCCCUGAAAGGGGUGCUAAUACCGGAUAAUGUCUUCGGACCAAAGAUUUAUCGCCUUUGGAUGGGCCCGCGUUGGUUUAGCCAGUUGGUAGGGUAAAAGCCUAUCAAGGCGUCGAUCCAUAGCUGGUCAGAGAGAAAGAGCAGCGACACUGGGGCGGAGACGCGGUCGAGAAUCCUACGGGAGGGGGGAGAGGGGAAUAUAGGACAAUGGGGGAAAGCAUGAACGAGCAAUGCCGCGUGAGUGAUGAAGGCCGUAGGGUAGUAAAGCUCUUUUACCCGGGAUGAUAAUGACGGUACCGGGAGAAUAAGCACCGGCUAACUCCGUG